rnacentral:misc_RNA from 1 species
AACGCACAUUGCGCCCGCCAGUAUUCUGGCGGGCAUGCCUGUUCGAGCGUCAUUUCAACCCUCAAGCCCCAGCGGCUUGGUGUUGGGGACCGGCCCCGGCCGCCCCCCAAAUGCAGUGGCGACCUCGCCGCAGCCUCCCCUGCGUAGUAGCACAACCUCGCACCGGAGCGCGGAGACGGUCACGCCGUAAAACGCCCAACUUCUCAGAGUUGACCUCGGAUCAGGUAGGAAUACCCGCUGAACUUAA